rnacentral:miRNA from 1 species
CAAACUUGAUGGUGUUUAUGACGUCGAAUAUCGACGUCGUAAACACCAAACUUGAUGGUGUUUAUGACGUCGAUAUUCGACGUCAUAAACACCAAAC